UGAUUUGAAAGGCGCUUUCGGGUGUCGCUGAUGGAUGGACCCGCGGUGCAUUAGCUAGUUGGUGAGGUAACGGCUCACCAAGGCCACGAUGCAUAGCCGACCUGAGAGGGUGAUCGGCCACAUUGGGACUGAGACACGGCCCAAACUCCUACGGGAGGCAGCAGUAGGGAAUCUUCGGCAAUGGACGAAAGUCUGACCGAGCAACGCCGCGUGAGUGAAGAAGGUUUUCGGAUCGUAAAACUCUGUUGUUAGAGAAGAACAAGGAUGAGAGUAACUGUUCAUCCCUUGACGGUAUCUAACCAGAAAGCCACGGCUAACUACGUGCCAGCAGCCGCGGUAAUACGUAGGUGGCAAGCGUUGUCCGGAUUUAUUGGGCGUAAAGCGAGCGCAGGCGGUUUCUUAAGUCUGAUGUGAAAGCCCCCGGCUCAACCGGGGAGGGUCAUUGGAAACUGGGAGACUUGAGUGCAGAAGAGGAGAGUGGAAUUCCAUGUGUAGCGGUGAAAUGCGUAGAUAUAUGGAGGAACACCAGUGGCGAAGGCGGCUCUCUGGUCUGUAACUGACGCUGAGGCUCGAAAGCGUGGGGAGCAAACAGGAUUAGAUACCCUGGUAGUCCACGCCGUAAACGAUGAGUGCUAAGUGUUGGAGGGUUUCCGCCCUUCAGUGCUGCAGCUAACGCAUUAAGCACUCCGCCUGGGGAGUACGACCGCAAGGUUGAAACUCAAAGGAAUUGACGGGGGCCCGCACAAGCGGUGGAGCAUGUGGUUUAAUUCGAAGCAACGCGAAGAACCUUACCAGGUCUUGACAUCCUUUGACCACUCUAGAGAUAGAGCUUCCCCUUCGGGGGCAAAGUGACAGGUGGUGCAUGGUUGUCGUCAGCUCGUGUCGUGAGAUGUUGGGUUAAGUCCCGCAACGAGCGCAACCCUUAUUGUUAGUUGCCAUCAUUCAGUUGGGCACUCUAGCAAGACUGCCGGUGACAAACCGGAGGAAGGUGGGGAUGACGUCAAAUCAUCAUGCCCCUUAUGACCUGGGCUACACACGUGCUACAAUGGGAAG
rnacentral:rRNA from 1 species